UGAUUCUUAGUUUUUAUACUUAUUGGGUUCCAAUAAGUCCAAAUAGCAAAGAGAAAUAAAAAUUGCAUAUCAAAACAAGAGCGUGGGUCCUAAAUGUCAGACUGAUGUAAAGAAGGCACGCAUGUUUGAACCAAUCUGAACCAAUAAUUGUGUAUUCAAAUAUUGUAAUAUAUUUCUUUAGAUCCAUUUUCGGUGCUCUUAUGAUUGUCAUACUUUUAUUGAUAAUUAUCAUUAAAUAGAGUUAUGAACUCAAUGUAUUGUAUUUUGACAGUUCCUAUUCCAAGGGUUAAUAAUGGUAACUAUGUCUCUCUGACUAUGUAGCUUCUUUCUUUUUUUAAAUUUAAAAUAAUGAAUAAUUAUUUGGGAUUUUUGUUUAUCACAAUUUUGACAGACUGAUAUUUCAGUUUUAUGUAUGUGAUACAAGUCAGGCAAAUAUUGGAUGAAACAAACACUGAAGGUACAAUUCAGCUUUUACUCCAAUCUUACAAGAUAUUUUGAUACUUUAGUCUUUUAAAGGAAAAAGUCAACUACCUUACUGGGUUUCUUCAAGUGCAUAAGAAAAACCGGACUUGUUAAUAGUUCCUCCGUGGCAGUGUAUUGGGAAGGCUAACCUUGCUGAGUUGAAGGGUUUCCAAGUCUUGGGUUGGCCUUGUGAAUGUAUGAAGAGCAGCUGGCUGAGGUGGAGAGAAGGGACAGAAAUUUAAAGUUGACCCACAGAUGGACGAUGUGUCAUUUUGUCCCAAAACGUCCACUUUGACCACUCAACAAAACAGCCCAAAGUGUCCUGCAGGGGAAGGAGGAGAAGACACGUGUCCAGUAGACAGUCCCUGUUCCUCCACAUCCAGCAGCGACAUUGAACAAGCUAUAAAAAUGCUUCUUCUAAACUUAACAUUGAUAUAUUUUUAACUUUGUUUAACGUGAUUGAGCUGAUGUUGCUUUAUUCUUAACGGAGCCUGGGGUCUACAGAUGAAGAAGACCCAGAGAUACAUUCUUCCUGUGUCAGUGACACCGAACAGGAGGAGCUGGCUGAAGAGCCCUCGGCAAGAGUCCACCAGCCAGGCUCAGAGACCAAAGUGUCCUGCAUUGGCCGGAGAAGUGGACACGUGUCUGGUGGACAGCCCCUGUUCCUCCACAUUCAGCAGUGAUGUCGAACAAGCUAGUCUGGGGUCUACAGAUGAAGAAGACCCAGAGAUAUAUUCGUCCUGUAGCCUGGAGGAGAAGAAUGAGGAAGACUCGCUUUCUUCACAUCUGGCGGCUGUUUUGGCUGUGACGUCACAGCCUAGUGCUACAAAGAAUAGAUUCCUGGAGGCCUUAAACUAUGUGGUCUCGAGAAGCAGAAUGGAAAGUGGGAGAACCCUUACAUCUGAUGAACUGGCCUGUUAUGGGCUCCCCAACCUGUCCCAGACCUGCUAUAUGAACUCUGUUCUCCAGAGCCUCCUGACCCCCAUGCCUUUUGUGAAGGAGCUCAACAAACAGAGUCAACAGUGGCUUUCGCACCCAAAAGCUCUGCUUUUCAAGUACAACACAAGCUCACGUGCCCCCAUUAUUCUAUGGCAUUAAUGCAAUGAAUGAAAAACAUCUGCUUUCUCCUUUCUCCAGGUUGCUCAGUGACAUCAACAAUGGCUUCGCGACUAAAAACAGAAUGCAAGAGAAGUCCACCCUCUUUAAAUUCCUGCGGACCAUUGCCCUGCAUCAUCCAGAAUUUAGAAAUGAUGCCCAACAAGUAAUCAUUCUUUUAUUUUCAAGAGCAUCAUCCUGAUCUUUUCUGGACUAGACACUUUGGUCUGUCUGCAGGAUGCCCACGAAUUUUUGAACACCAUCCUGGAACAGCUGAGCUCCAUCUCUGCAGAGAUCAGGUCAUUGGCAAAUGAGAAACAGCAGAGCUACACCUGCCCUGUGGAGGCUCACAUCAGCUUCCAGAUGUUGAGCACCAUGCUGUGCCACAGGUGGGAAUAUACCUGGAAACCUUCUGCUCCUGCAUAGGUGUUGAACUUGUUUAGUUGAAUCCUUAGUUACUUGAAUCCUCUCUUGAAUUACAGUUGUGGCCAUGAACGUGAAAAUAUGGAGGAGUGUUUGAACCUGUCCGUGGCGCCUGAGGACACCAUCAUGCAAGGAAUACAGCUGUACCUGAAAGUAAGGGACACAUGUUUGGUGUUCAUGUGUGAAUGAUGGAGGAGCUGUUGAACCUCACGACUGUUGUUGAUUCUGCAGGAGCAACUGCUGGAUUACAAAUGUCACUGUGGCGCCUCCCAGACGACAGAGCAAAGAUCCUUCUUCACUCUGCCAAAGUGAGAACCAGCCAUCUCAGCAUCCUCACAUCUGCUGCCUUCUAAAGGCCCUAACUGUCUCUACAUCUCCUCUUCCCUCCCCUUUUCUUCUCGAUAGUGUGCUGAUCAUCCACCUA
rnacentral:lncRNA from 1 species